UAGGGAAUAUUGGACAAUGGGCGAAAGCCUGAUCCAGCCAUGCCGCGUGCAGGAAGAAGGCCCUCUGGGUUGUAAACUGCUUUUGACAAGGAACAAACGACCCAUGCGUGGGGCAUUGAGUGUACUUGUAGAAUAAGCACCGGCUAACUCCGUGCCAGCAGCCGCGGUAAUACGGAGGGUGCAAGCGUUGUCCGGAUUUAUUGGGUUUAAAGGGUGCGUAGGUGGCCUUAUAAGUCAGUGGUGAAAGCCGACAGCUUAACUGUCGAACUGCCAUUGAUACUGUAGGGCUUGAGUAUUGUUGAGGUAGGCGGAAUUGAAGGUGUAGCGGUGAAAUGCAUAGAUAUCUUCAAGAACUCCAAUUGCGAAGGCAGCUUACUAAAGAAUAACUGACACUGAGGCACGAAAGCGUGGGUAGCAAACAGG
rnacentral:rRNA from 1 species